UCGCUUCAGCAGCGCAUAUACUAAAAUCAAAAUGAUACAGAGAGGAUUAGCAUGGCCCCUGCACAAGGAUGACUCACAAAUUCAUGAAGUGGCCCAUGUUUUU